AACGUAGGUGGCGAGCGUUAUCCGGAUUCAUUGGGCGUAAAGCGCUUGUAGGUGGCUUGGUAAGUUGGACGUGAAAUCUCCCGGCUUAACCGGGAGGGGUCGUUCAAUACUGCCGGGCUGGAGGAUGUCAGAGGGCAGCGGAAUUCCUGGUGUAGCAGUGAAAUGCGUAGAUAUCAGGAGGAACACCCGUGGCGAAGGCGGCUGCCUGGGGCAUAACUGACACUGAGAAGCGAAAGCUAGGGGAGCAAACGGG
rnacentral:rRNA from 1 species